GGCAAUCUCAGCAGCUUAAGUGUAACAUGAUGAGAAGAUGUACCGGAAGUCCCAUGUGGGAUGUGCCACAAUCUCUGCAGCCCAAUAAUAAAACAGCACAGCUCAGACAGCUGAAAAUCCUCCCACAGACGAGUCACUUGUUAAUGUUUCAGAGGCCAGGGUUCAGACUGAGGAAACACAAGGACAGCAGGAAAUAUUUGAAACUCCCACUGCACCAGAAGAUGUGGAUAAUUAUGUCAGCCUUGGAUUAAAGGGGAAGCAACAAGAGCACCGUGAGGCCGGUACCAGAGCAACGGGAGAACGUAGGAAGAGUCGUCAAUAAUUCGCAAUGCAAAAACCAAUCAGAAGUAAACAUACUCAACAGCCAAUCACAGCCAGGAAUACAGGAACACUCACCAGAGGACAGAAAGGACCUUUACACACCAGAGAAAGCCAAGCU